CAGAGUUCAUGCCCUCACGGGUAGACCUCCCACCCUAUGUUAUACAUACCUUUGUUGCUUUGGCGGGCCGCCUUCGGGCUAUCGGCUUCGGCUGAUGCGUGCCCGCCAGAGGAAAUCAAACUCUGAAUAUUAAUGUCGUCUGAGUAAACUAUAAUAAGUUA
rnacentral:misc_RNA from 1 species